UCCUACGGGGGGCAGCAGUGAGGAAUAUUGGGCAAUGCCCGCAAGGGUGACCCAGCAACGCCGCGUGGAGGAUGAAUGCCGUAAGGUUGUAAACUCCUGUGAGAAGGGAUGAAAAUGUGGGUUCGAAGCCCACUUUGACCGUACCUUCAGAGGAAACCCCGGCUAACUACGUGCCAGCAGCCGCGGUAAUACGUAGGGGGUUAGCGUUGUCCGGAUUUACUGGGUGUAAAGGGCGCGUAGGCGGGUCUGUAAGUCAGAGGUGAAAUCCUACAGCUUAACUGUAGAGCUGCCUUUGAUACUGCGGAUCUUGAGUUCAGAAGAGAGAGAUGGAAUUCCAGGUGUAGUGGUGAAAUACGUAGAUAUCUGGAAGAACACCAGUGGCGAAGGCGAUCUCUUGGUCUGACACUGACGCUGAGGCGCGAAAGCGUGGGUAGCAAACAGGAUUAGAUACCCUGGUAGG
rnacentral:rRNA from 1 species